UUUAUUGAAUUAUGUACUGAUAUUUCUAUCAUCUUACUAGGUUUUGCAAAUUUGCUUUAAACAAUUGCUAUUGACUAUAAUAAAGAUGAAGUGAAUAAACUUAUAACUCAACCCCGCUUUCUUAUUGACAGUUUGAAGUGGUUGUAUGGUGUGAAAUGGCUAGGUUUUGAUAUUCCGUAUAUAAAUUUAUACUACAUUUUGAAACACUUCAUGAUGAAUGGAUAUGUGAAUCUUGAAACUUUUUACGUUUCAAUGAGGUUGGUGUGAUUAAAAGAGAAGACAAAGUUGUUUUAUAUUAUCUGUUAUUUAUUAACAAUCAAAAAGAAUAUAUGUUGGUUAUUCCAAAAAGGCUUAUAAUUGUCCUGAUUCAAUUACUGCUUUUUCUUCUUGGAAGGAUAAUGCAAAACAUUAUUUUUCCUUUAGAUGAGUUUUCACUUUUAAUAGCUUAUGUAUAUACCAAUGAGCCAUUUCAUAUGUGAUUUCUAUGGCAUUAAUUCGUAUAGUAGAUAUUGUCGACUAAAAGGUACAAAAGAAAAGAGGCAUAAGAAGAAUGAUUAACCCAAAAUAGAAUUAGACUGAUUCAAAAUUCUAUCAGCACUGUGAGAUGAGUGCUAUUGGAAGGAGUAGGUGGUUUUAGUGGUUUCAGGGAUAUUUGUGGCUAGCAUCCCCCAGUGAGUUAAGGCUUGAUUUUUCAAAACUGAGUAUUUCCAUGUUCAACUUAAAGUUUAUCUGGAAGAUAAGGUUGUGAUGCUCAUUAAUCUUUACUUCUACGCUUGAUUUUUCUUUUUCUCAUGCGAAAUAUAUUCUGUUGAGAAGAUAUGCAUAACUCUAAGUUUGACUUCUUUAUCAGCAUAUAGUAGAAACCUGAAGCUUUGGUGGAAUGGAGAAAUGCCCAACUUUGAUGGGAUGGAAAAGGAAUAAGCGGAGUGGAAUUUCUAGCUUUCUGGAAUGAGGCUUUGACUGCUCAGUUGUCAAUUAAAUUCCAUGUUCUUUGUUGGUAAAAUGGCAUAUACCAUUCAAGAUUAACUGUAUGCCAUGGGAGGGAAAUGAUGAUUGUCCUACUAUUACUGCUCUUGCUGCUUUUGGGCUAUAUUCCACACUGCCAAUAUGCUAAAAGCUCUAGAGCUUUGACCUACAGUCGAGGUGAAAGCAAAGCAGUUACAAAAACGAGAUACAGGGACCGAGUGGAAGAGUUAAAAUCUAUAGGCCUGUCCGACAACAUCUAUGUAGUUGAAGUGCAGUUGAAGUUUAUCGAUGGAAGUCGGAUGUGCCGGAGACAUUAGCAUGGAGGAUAGCGCAAUAUGCACUGGACAAUUCCAAGAGCACAGAGCAUUACACCCUUUCUAGAGUGUUCACACUUCACAAUGGUGGAAAGUAUGAUCAUAUUACUGUCAAUUGUAGCCAAUAUUUGGCAUUUAUAGUGCUGUGCUUUUUUAUGUCAGAUAACUUACUGCGAGAAAUUAGAAUUUAACAAUUCUUAGUAGUUGUAAACAAUGAUCUUCAUAGGUUAGAUAUUAGUUGAGAAACAAGCAAGAAAUAUGUAUGUAAUUUGAUUCUUUA